rnacentral:tRNA from 1 species
AGGAGUGUAGCUCAAUUGGUAGAGCGCCGGUCUCCAAAACCGGAGGUUGCGGGUUCGAGCCCCUCCACUCCUGCCA